rnacentral:lncRNA from 1 species
UAGACUUCCUUUCCCUACCUUUCUUCUCUCCUUGUCUUCCUUAUAUCUCUUUCUAGGCUUUUAUCUUAAAAUCGGACUUGUCCUUACUAUUUUUGGACUAGUCCUAAUAAGAGAAGGAAGAGACUAAUUGGAUGAUAGGAAGAGUGUGUAAGAAAGAAGAGAUAGGAAUGAAAGAUCUGAAUGAAACAAAUCCCUCGCACAACCCCUUUAAAUAGUUAGUGAUGGGAUGCCUAUGGAUUUGUCUCGCACCCUC